AUUCAUCUUAAACAUUUUAAGUGUUGUGUUGUAACUUGAAUUCUGAGUCUGAUAUAUUUUUUAAAAACUGAUUUCUCAGUGAAACUCAUUAGUCUACUUUUAUAUGACACCUCAUUUCUAACAGGCUCUGGGAAGAAUACACCAUCAUAGGUUUGGGAAGGAAGAAAUAUAUUGUGCAGAACUUUUCAUACCUCAGAAAACAGAAGGAACACAUAAAUUAGUUCUUGGAGGGGCCUCCAGGGGACGAUGCUGCACAAACUAGAGAUCUUGUUGCUCAACAUCAUCUGCUCACGCCCUCCCCCCUGCAGCUGGCUGAGCUCUUUGCAGACAGAGACAGGGACAAGAAUCAUCCAUCAGAAAGCUCCAGGCUCAUCUCAGCAGCUUUUGCAUUUUUAUCUCAGCAAGGAACCUGUCCAACUUUACUUUCUCCACCCUUCUUAUGUCCGAGGGCUUGGUUUCCUCAGCCAGUUUCCUGUCUGCUCAGGGGAGAUUUUCCUGAGAAGAGCCCACUGCCUUUCUACUGCUCGGCCAUGUUCCUGUUGCUUAUCUCAACACUGGGGAUAUUUGCCCUGCGAGACACCGGAGCCCAGUCAGUGACACAGCCUGAUGUCCAUGUCACUGUCUCUGAAGGAGCCCCUCUGGAGCUGAGGUGCAACUAUUCCUAUAGUGGAACUCCUUAUCUCUUCUGGUACAUGCAGCACCCCAACCAAGGACUCCAGUUUCUACUGAAGUACUUUUCAGGGGACACCCUGGUUAAAGGCAUCAAAGGUUUUGAGGCUGAAUUUAAGAACCAUGAAACCACCUUCCACCUGAGGAAAUCCCGAGGCCUUGGCAGCAAUGCGGCCAAGUACUUCUGUGCUGUGCGUGACACAGUGUCUGGGACUGCAGGGGGAGCUGAACACAAACCACCAUGGUAGGGGAGUUUUUGGAGACUGACGGUCUCUUCCUGUGGUAUUAUCAGAGAUCUCUUGCUGUAUGAUGCCAAAUGAGGCAAAUAGAGCUGAGCAGACUCAGAUAUUUCUAUAUAAUUCUACAACUCCAUGUCUGAUAAACUUAAUUUAGCAGGUUUUUGGUCUUUGUAGAAACUACAUGAUAAUAAAUAGUAUUACAGAAUGAUGGAGAAGAUAGUGUUCUGAUCAUAUAAUACCAGGAUGCUUAAAG